GGCUAGAGUUUGAUCAUGGCUCAGGACGAACGCUGGCGGCGUGCCUAACACAUGCAAGUCGAACGGGGCUAGGAGAGCUUGCUCUCCGAUGCCUAGUGGCGGACGGGUGAGUAACGCGUGAGUAACCUGCCUCUUAGAGGGGAAUAACGUUCUGAAAAGAACGCUAAUACCGCAUAACGUACAGUUUCCGCAUGGAAGCAGUACCAAAGGAGCAAUCCGCUGAGAGAUGGACUCGCGUCCGAUUAGCUAGUUGGUGGGGUAAAGGCCUACCAAGGCGACGAUCGGUAGCCGGACUGAGAGGUUGAACGGCCACAUUGGGACUGAGACACGGCCCAGACUCCUACGGGAGGCAGCAGUGGGGGAUAUUGCACAAUGGGGGAAACCCUGAUGCAGCAACGCCGCGUGUGGGAAGAAGGUUUUCGGAUUGUAAACCACUGUUCUUGGUGAAGAUAAUGACGGUAACCAAGGAGAAAGCUCCGGCUAACUACGUGCCAGCAGCCGCGGUAAUAUGUAGGGAGCAAGCGUUGUCCGGAUUUACUGGGUGUAAAGGGUGCGUAGGCGGCCAGGCAAGUCAGACGUGAAAACCAUGGGCUCAACCUGUGGAUUGCGUUUGAAACUGUUUGGCUUGAGUGAAGUAGAGGCAGGCG
rnacentral:rRNA from 1 species